CUGACGAAUACUACAACAUGAACAAUGCAAACAACUGUGAAAGAGUCAAGGCCAAAACUUAAAACUCUAGUAAAACAUACAGUACAAAUUCAAACAGCAGAGUUCAACACUAAAAUUUACACAAAAUAAAGCACUUCUAAACGCUUUAAGCUAACCUAAACCUUGAGCCCUUACUAACUUACCUUUUCCGUAAUAUUUGACGUAAUAUUUCACCGUCAAACAAAAAUAAAAUUUAGUUUUACGCACAAAGGCGCAAAAAUCAUGCUUCGCGCCGGCCAUGUUUUAAAAUUUUGACAAGAUUUUAACAUGACAAUCAUUCUGCUUAAUGAUUGGUUCAGAACAUAAUGCUAUUGUUAAAAACAACCAAUCAGAAAUAACUAAAUAUUUGCUCUGAAAAAAAAAUAGGUACGCAAGUCGUACAUACAGUACAAACGACGCAAUUAUUUCACUGAAUGACGUCAAUUAAAAUAGGUAUAUAAAAGUAUGUAAUUACUUUAAAUUAUGAAUAAAAUUUCAAUAAUAUAAAUGUGGAGUGUGGAUCUUCUAAAAUUAAUUCUUACUGUUGUCUAUUUACAGUAUAAACUUUACAUAUAUUUCAUAAUAUUAAGAUACUCUAUAAUAAUUAUUUUACUUUGAAUAUUACCUCCGAAGAUUUCGCUUGUCGGAGGUAUUCAUGCGGGAACAAUAAAAAAUUAAGUCGUAUAGGCACUUUAAUAAGCUGGACGGUGCCAGACAAAUCCUGUUAACCCACACACCAAAAACCAACAUUUGUUGCUAUUCUAUAAAACUAUUUUUCUUUUUGUAAGCAAAUUUUUGAAAAGCCUCCCUUUGAAAACCAAGUUAAGCCCAAAUGAACACCAAAUAAUUCCGUCUAUGGCUAUUCUAUAAAACUAUUUUUCUUUUUGUAAGCAAAUUUUUGAAAAGCUUCACUUUGAAAACCAAGUUAAGCCCAAAUGAACACCAAAGAAUUCCGUUUAUGGCUAUUCUAUAAAACUAUUUUUCUGUUUGUGCGCGUAUUUUUGAAAAGCCUCCUUUUUCAACAAUGAAGUCAUCAAGCACCUCGAUGACAUCACAAAUGUCUUUCGUCAUACUCAUUUUAGCUUCCUGUCUGAUGUGUUCCAUCACAAUACGACUGCUCGGACAUUUUGAUAGAAAGACGUAGGACCUGCAAAACAUAAUGACCCGAUUUAUAGGACAGAGAGAUCUCAU
rnacentral:lncRNA from 1 species